GAUGAACGCUGGCGGCGUGCCUAAUACAUGCAAGUCGAGCGAACGGACGAGAAGCUUGCUUCUCUGAUGUUAGCGGCGGACGGGUGAGUAACACGUGGAUAACCUACCUAUAAGACUGGGAUAACUUCGGGAAACCGGAGCUAAUACCGGAUAAUAUUUUGAACCGCAUGGUUCAAAAGUGAAAGACGGUCUUGCUGUCACUUAUAGAUGGAUCCGCGCUGCAUUAGCUAGUUGGUAAGGUAACGGCUUACCAAGGCAACGAUGCAUAGCCUACCUGAGAGGGUGAUCGGCCACACUGGAACUGAGACACGGUCCAGACUCCUACGGGAGGCAGCAGUAGGGAAUCUUCCGCAAUGGGCGAAAGCCUGACGGAGCAACGCCGCGUGAGUGAUGAAGGUCUUCGGAUCGUAAAACUCUGUUAUUAGGGAAGAACAUAUGUGUAAGUAACUGUGCACAUCUUGACGGUACCUAAUCAGAAAGCCGCGGCUAACUACGUG
rnacentral:rRNA from 1 species